rnacentral:rRNA from 1 species
AGUGAACGCUGGCGGCGUGCUUAACACAUGCAAGUCGAACGAGAACGGGCUAUAGCUUGCUAUAGUUGUCAGCUAAGUGGCGCACGGGUGAGUAAUGUAUAGGUAAUAUGCCUCUUACUAAGGGAUAACAAAUGGAAACGUUUGCUAAUACCUUAUACUCCUUAUUAACAGAAGUUAAUAAGGGAAAGAUUUAUUGGUAUGAGAUUAGCCUGUAUUGUAUCAGUUAGUUGGUGGGGUAAUGGCUUACCAAGACUAUGACACAUAACUGGUUUGAGAGGAUGAUCAGUCACACUGGAACUGAGACAUGGUCCAGACUCCUACGGGAGGCAGCAGUGGGGAAUAUUGCACAAUGGACGAAAGUCUGAUGCAGCAACGCCGCGUGGAGGAUGACACAUUUCGGUGCGUAAACUCCUUUUAUAUGAGAAGAUAAUGACGGUAUUAUACGAAUAAGCACCGGCUAACUCCGUGCCAGCAGCCGCCGUAA